rnacentral:rRNA from 1 species
GAGUUUGAUCUUGGCUCAGAUUGAACGCUGGCGGCAGGCCUAACACAUGCAAGUCGAGCGGUAGAGAGAAGCUUGCUUCUCUUGAGAGCGGCGGACGGGUGAGUAAUGCCUAGGAAUUUGCCUGGUAGUGGGGGAUAACGCUCGGAAACGGACGCUAAUACCGCAUACGUCCUACGGGAGAAAGCAGGGGACCUUCGGGCCUUGCGCUAUCAGAUGAGCCUAGGUCGGAUUAGCUAGUUGGUGAGGUAAUGGCUCACCAAGGCGACGAUCCGUAACUGGUCUGAGAGGAUGAUCAGUCACACUGGAACUGAGACACGGUCCAGACUCCUACGGGAGGCAGCAGUGGGGAAUAUUGGACAAUGGGCGAAAGCCUGAUCCAGCCAUGCCGCGUGUGUGAAGAAGGUCUUCGGAUUGUAAAGCACUUUAAGUUGGGAGGAAGGGCAGUAAAUUAAUACUUUGCUGUUUUGACGUUACCGACAGAAUAAGCACCGGCUAACUCUGUGCCAGCCGCCG